UUAACGUAGAAGGCUUCUGGCUUUCCGUUGUGAAAAACGGUUGCUUAAACCCUUUACGUUUUUUUUUCUAGAGGAAAAUAAUGUGACUCCUCCUAUCCUCCUGCUGCUCAGGGGAAAGAUCUAGUCUUAACUAAAAUACGACUUGCAAAACAACAAGCAGAAAUUAAGGAAUUAAAGAAGGGUAUUAAUGUUAUGCGUGUUAACUUGGCAAGUAUUGAGAAUGACCGCAUGGAUACUUCGUUGUCUGUGCCCCAACUAUGACGAGCGAAAUAAAAGAGUACAAUUAUUUUAUUCAACUUCAUGCAGCAAACCAAUUACAUAGCGAACAAAGCAAACAUAUCGUUUGUAAGGCUUUAAUAUGUUCGAGGCCAAUAUAUGAGCAAAUAUAAGAAAAUGCAAUUCUCAGAAGGGAGUUUGGACUUGAGAUUGCAAAUACACAGUUUCUAUAAAAGAAUCAAUCUACAGGAUCUUGGCACUGCACACAAUCUUCCAUUCCAGCCUCAAAUUUCUCUAUUUGUAACGUCAUUUCAAACACAUUAAAUUUAGAACGCACCAGUUGCGAAGCUUGUAUUAACACUUCUUGAGUCUUCGACCCACGCCCUAAAAAAAAACUAAAAGUUAGUUGAAAAACAAGUGUUAAGUUACUAUUGCUUACGAAUGGCCAAAUGUGCGGACAAGGCGACUUUAUCCAUUGUAAGAGCCCAUAUACGAAGGUUGUGUACACGAAUCACGC